UACAUGGGGUGCAAACGUUGCUCGGAAUUAUUGGGCGUAAAGCGCGCGUAGGCGGUUUGGAAAGUCAGAUGUGAAAGCCCCGGGCUCAACUUGGGAACUGCAUUUGAUACUGCCAGACUAGAGUACAGAAGAGGUGACUGGAAUUCCCAGUGUAGCGGUGAAAUGCGUAGAUAUUGGGAGGAACACCAGAUGCGAAGGCGGGUCACUGGGCUGAUACUGACGCUGAUGCGCGAAAGCCAGGGGAGCGAACGGG
rnacentral:rRNA from 1 species